GCCAUUUUACACAAAUAAUAUUACAAAAAAGAUCUGCUAAUAAAUUCCAAAUGAGGUAACUUUUCCCGUGUAAAGAAUGACUGGUCUUUCUGCAGUUCUAUCAGUUCUCUUGUUUACAUUUUCCCUUGAAUUCUUGCCUGUGUUUAAAUUGAGAUGUUUGAGAUGAUUUUUCAUCCCAGAUUGGACCCAAAGGAGAUAUCCUACGUGCAGACAGUUCUAAGCGUAUCAGUUACGAUGGUUGAAUAAAAAAAAUAAGCAACAGCAAAAGAAUAUCACAAUGUUACCUGAUGGCACUUUGAUGCUAGAAGACAAGAGAGCAAAGGAGGUUGACUGACUGGAUCAGUUGCUGCUGCACGACCCACUGCUGCACGCGUAUAUGAUGAGGCAUCGCGACCUCCAACAGCUGAGGCGCGAACGACUUCUGCGCAUCUGCUGCGCGACACCAGCAGAUGGGUUGGGUUCGAUCAUCGCCGCAGGUAAGAGAAGAUGGCGUGGGUGGGUGGCCCCAGUUGG
rnacentral:lncRNA from 1 species